GUUCCAAAGAUGUGGGUAAUGCUCUGGGCUUUGACUGUGCUGUUCCCCCUCCUUCUAGUUGUAGUUGCCAUGAUCUACAGAUUUAAAAGCCAUCAGACCAGAGAACAGAGAACACAAAAUAGGCCUACAAUACCAUGUGCUGUACCUCAAGAAUCGACAUUCCAAAAUACAACUGAAAUUACAUAUGCCUCAAUCAACACACAACAAAUCAACCAGAGAGAAAAUCAACAGAGACAUGUUCUGGAAAGAGUGAAGAGUGGAUCACAGGAUCAGCGUUCACCUGUGGAAGAGGAGCAAGUGCUCUAUUCAGCUGUCCGCUUAAAACAGGCGGCCUAAACCUGGACCUCCGGAAAGAGUGUAGUGUCAUUAUCAGGUCAAUAAAAUACACAAAGGUAUUUUCAAAUUAAAUUUCAGUCUUUGUGGGCUAUAGCUGCAUGAUGGGUUCGGCUAUAUUGAAGAAGGUCUACUACAUACCAAAAGAUAACGCUGACCUGCUAAAACAGGGAUGUCAAACUCA